rnacentral:rRNA from 1 species
AGAGUUUGAUCCUGGCUCAGAAUCAACGCUGGCGGCGUGCCUCAGACAUGCAAGUCGAACGCUGUUGGUUGCCCUUCGGGGCGGCCAGCAGAGUGGCGCACGGGUGAGUAACACGUAGGUAAUUUGCCUUCGGGUGGGGAAUAACAGCCGGAAACGGCUGCUAAUACCGCAUAAUGCAGCGGCACCACAUGGUGACAGUUGUUAAAGCGGGGGAUCGUAAGACCUCGCGCCUGAAGAGAAGCCUGCGGCGGAUUAGCUAGUUGGUAGGGUAACGGCCUACCAAGGCGACGAUCCGUAGCCGGCCUGAGAGGGCGGUCGGCCACACUGACACUGACAUACGGGUCAGACUCCUACGGGAGGCAGCAGUCGGGAAUUUUGGGCAAUGGGCGCAAGCCUGACCCAGCAACGCCGCGUGAAGGACGCAGUUUUUCGGAAUGUAAACUUCACAAGAAUGGGAAGAAUAAGAGAGGGCUAAUACUCCUCUCGAUGACGGUACCAUUUGUAAGCUCCGGCUAACUCCGUGCCAGCCGCGGCGGUAAUAC